rnacentral:rRNA from 1 species
GAUGAACGCUAGCGGCAGGCUUAAUACAUGCAAGUCGAGGGGCAGCAGGACUGUAGCAAUACAGUUGCUGGCGACCGGCAAACGGGUGCGGAACACGUACGCAACUUACCCAAAACUGGGGAAUAGCCCGGGGAAACCCGGAUUAAUACCUCGUAACAUAAUGAAGUGGCAUCACUUUAUUAUUAUAGCUCCGGCGGUUUUGGAUGGGCGUGCGCCUGAUUAGGUAGUUGGCGGGGUAACGGCCCACCAAGCCUACGAUCAGUAACUGGNGUGAGAGCACGACCAGUCACACGGGCACUGAGACACGGAUCCGACUCCUACGGGAGGCAGCAGUAAGGAAUAUUGGACAAUGCCCGCAAGGGUGAUCCAGCCAUGCCGCGUGCAGGAAGAAGGCCCUAUGGGUCGUAAACUGC